UGAGGAAUAUUGGACAAUGGAGGGCAACUCUGAUCCAGCCAUGCCGCGUGAAGGACUAAGGCCCUAUGGGCUGUAAACUUCUUUAGACGCAGAGCAAUAAGGGCCACGCGUGGUCCGAUGAGAGUAUGCGUAGAAUAAGCAUCGGCUAACUCCGUGCCAAGCAGCCGCGGUAAUACGGAAGGUCCGGGCGUUAUCCGGAUUUAUUGGGUUUAAAGGGAGCGUAGGCCGGAGAUUAAGCGUGUUGUGAAAAUGUAGUGGCUCAACCUCUGCACUGCAGCGCGAACUGGUCUUCUUGAGUACGCACAACGUGGGCGGAAUUCGUGGUGUAGCGGUGAAAUGCUUAGAUAUCACGAAGAACUCCGAUUGCGAAGGCAGC
rnacentral:rRNA from 1 species